GGGUCGAUGGCGUAGCUGGUUAUCGCAUCUGUCUAACAUGGUCCUCUAUAUUUGGGGGUUGUUGGUCACAGAAGGUCCUCAGUUCGAACCUGGGUCGACUCA